AUAGCCACAGAGCCUAGAGUACUGGCUUCAAAAUAAUUUUUUUUUUCUUAGCUGAUUUUAACGAGUAUCUAUGUGCAAGGGAGUGUUCUAAAAAGACGUUAGUCCAGAACAUGGGGGUUUCCGUAUCAGCUGACAGCGAACCCAAUUCAAGUCUCUAAAUCCCAAUCGCUGGCCGACGCACCGGAACCAAAGCGUUGACGCUUGAGUUUCCGGACGGAGGCGCCAAUAUGUUGCGAUGGGCCGAUUGCUUUUGCCUGGCGGAAGUCUAUCAGGAGAGGCUGCGGCAGGCGAGCAGUGUAUGACGUCCUCGUCGCCAGGGAGCUUGAGCUGCUGAGAUUCGGGAGGCCACGCUAGCUCUGUUGGGGCGACCAAGCGGUUGGAGAGUUCAGUUUGCACACGCGCCGAUGCGAGUACCCUUGUUGGUGAUGGAGAGAUCAAAGGACCCAAUUUAUGAAAAAAAGUUCUGCCGUGGAUAGAUGCCUGUGUGAUUAACUGGUCCUCCUACAUCCCACAUCAUCCAUAAGCUGCUAGCCUGAUAGAGCAAUGAAAUGGUCUCAGAAACACAGCGAAGCAACAGUUUGGAGGUGAUAUCCUACAAAGGUAUUCCUUCAGGAUGCCGCAUAAAGAUUAAAGCAGAGGUUGGCAAACUGAUUCCAAGGCCAGAUCAGGCUUGCUGCUGUUUUACAAACAUAAUAUUAUUGGAAUACAACCACACGCAUCAUUUACGUAUUGUUUGUGGCUCCUGUCGUGCUAGAUAGCAGAAUUAAGUAGUUGUGUCAGAGACUGUAUGGUCCACAAAGUCUAAAACAGUUACUGUCUGGCACUUUACAGAAAAAGUUGGCUACUUUUUCCUUGAACCACUGAUGAUUGUAUGGUUCUCUGUUACUGCUGGGAACCAAGGAGUGGGAAGGAUGGCUCUGUUCCAGCAACCCACUUGGGAAACUUUGGCUUCCAGUUUCUGAAACUUCAGGCUCUUUAGUUGAAGAACUAGAGGUCUUGGUUUCUGGAAAGGGGACACUUCCACUAGGGGAAACAUUAAUAGUUCCACUAAACUUAAGGCAGUGGCUGCCGUUGAUCAUUUUGUGCUCAUUGCACCAGUAGACUGGCAAGAAGAGAAAAGAGUUACCAUGCUUGAAGGGGUAAUUGACUUUGAUAACCAUGAGGAGGUGGGGUUGCUGCUAUGGAAUGAUAGUAGGGAAGAAUAUAUUUGUCACACCUGUGAACUACUGGGGUGUCUCCUGGUAAUCUGAACCUCAGUUUUCACUGUAAAUUGGCAAGGAGAGCUCAGCUGUGGCCAGACAACAGCAUGGUAACCAAAAUCUCAGACCCCUCAGGUGACAGACAGUACCGUGCAAGCCACCCAGACCAGCAGAGGUGCUGGCACAAGGUGAGGGGAAUAUAGACUGGGUAGUAAAGAAAGGAAAUGAUCAGUAUCAGUUCUGACCUCAGAACCAACUGUGGCUGUGGAGACUGUAGUUUAUCCCACUAACUUCUCUUUUAAGUUUUCAUGGAAAUUGUGAUCAAUCGGAAUCCUGAAGUUGCAAAAGAGUGGAGUGAACCUAAUGUGUAAAGCACGUGACCUGAAUUGUACAAGGGGGUAGAGCACAGCAGACAAUGUGGUGCUCUGUCCGGAUCUCCUUUUGUUGGCUCGGUGUACUCAUUCUUCUCCAACGGCUGCAGGUGAUGCUACUGAUGCACCCGCACCAUUUUCAAGAGGCUUUGCCUCCAGGAGACUGGAGCAGCAUCACCAGGAGAUAGCUGGAAGUUACGCACUACUUAUCCCUGUAGCAGCCUGUAAGCAGUGACUGCCUCAUGCGUGAGAUGGAGGUGCAAAAACCUCGUUCCCCUGCUCUGAGGUGGGAGAGACCAUGGUGUGGUGUAUGCGUCAGAGCUCCUGGAGAUUUGGGGCUGAGGCUAGACCCAGCUAAAACCACAGUCUUGCUUUGCUUCUGCCAUUGGUCUCUUCUGUUGCCACUCAUUCCCUUACAGAUUUUUUUUUCCUUUUUCUUCUAUAGUUUUGAGUUUGGACCUGAAAAGAUGCUGUUGAUAUGCAGAUUGGUCUAAAACAGGCAGCCUGGGGUUGUGUUUGGGCCAAGAUUUCUCAUGUAAUUAUGUAAUUUCUCUCUUAAUAAAAAACUUGAUUAUAUCUUUU